AUCCUGGCUUAGGACGAACGCUGGCGGCGUGCCUAAUACAUGCAAGUCGAACGGUCUUUCUAUGGAAGCUUGCUUCCACUGAGAAGAUAGUGGCGAACGGGUGAGUAACACGUGGGGUAACCCUGCCCAUAAGAGGGGGGAUAACAUCCGGAAACGGGUGCUAAUACCGCAUAGUUUCUUGAUCGCAUGAUUGAGAAGGAAAGACGGCCUUUGUGCUGUCGCUUAUGGAUGGACCCGCGGCGUAUUAGUUAGUUGGUUAGGUAAUGGCUCACCAAGACGAUGAUACGUAGCCGACCUGAGAGGGUGAUCGGCCGCAUUGGGACUGAGACACGGCCCAAACUCCUACGGGAGGCAGCAGUAGGGAAUCUUCCGCAAUGGACGAAAGUCUGACGGAGCAACGCCGCGUGAGUGAAAGAAGGUUUUCGGAUCGUAAAACUCUGUUGUCAGAGAAGAACAAGUUGGAGAGUAACUGCUCCAGCCUUGACGGUAUCUGACCAGAAAGCCACGGCUAACUACGUGCCAGCCGCCGC
rnacentral:rRNA from 1 species